CACUCCCUUAGAGUUUGAUCCUGGCUCAGGAUGAACGCUAGCUACAGGCUUAACACAUGCAAGUCGAGGGGAAACGACAUCGAAAGCUUGCUUUUGAUGGGCGUCGACCGGCGCACGGGUGAGUAACGCGUAUCCAACCUGCCCACCACUUGGGGAUAACCUUGCGAAAGUAAGACUAAUACCCAAUGAUAUCUCUAGAAGACAUCUGAAGGAGAUUAAAGAUUUAUCGGUGAUGGAUGGGGAUGCGUCUGAUUAGCUUGUUGGCGGGGUAACGGCCCACCAAGGCGACGAUCAGUAGGGGUUCUGAGAGGAAGGUCCCCCACAUUGGAACUGAGACACGGUCCAAACUCCUACGGGAGGCAGCAGUGAGGAAUAUUGGUCAAUGGACGAGAGUCUGAACCAGCCAAGUAGCGUGCAGGAUGACGGCCCUAUGGGUUGUAAACUGCUUUUAUAAGGGAAUAAAGUGAGUCUCGUGAGGCUUUUUGCAUGUACCUUAUGAAUAAGGACCGGCUAAUUCCGUGCCAGCAGCCGCGGUAAUACGGAAGGUCCGGGCGUUAUCCGGAUUUAUUGGGUUUAAAGGGAGCGUAGGCCGGAGAUUAAGCGUGUUGUGAAAUGUAGGUGCUCAACAUCUGCACUGCAGCGCGAACUGGUUUCCUUGAGUACGCACAAAGUGGGCGGAAUUCGUGGUGUAGCGGUGAAAUGCUUAGAUAUCACGAAGAACUCCGAUUGCGAAGGCAGCUCACUGGAGCGCAACUGACGCUGAAGCUCGAAAGUGCGGGUAUCGAACAGGAUUAGAUACCCUGGUAGUCCGCACGGUAAACGAUGGAUGCCCGCUGUUGGUCUGAAUAGGUCAGCGGCCAAGCGAAAGCAUUAAGCAUCCCACCUGGGGAGUACGCCGGCAACGGUG
rnacentral:rRNA from 1 species